CUUCCAGAGACCCAAAGGGACCAUCGAGUACACCGUGGAGUCGAGGGACACCUUGAACAGCAUAGCGCUGAAGUUCGACACCACGCCCAAUGAACUGGUGCAGCUCAACAAGCUCUUCUCCAGAGCAGUCGUGCCAGGGAAGGUGCUGUACGUUCCGGAUCAGGAGUAUGUGUCGAGUGCGGAGAGCUCCCCCUCCCUCAGCCCUGUCAGCCCCCACUCCCCC